CUGUUUUUUUCAGUUUUAAUAUUAUUUUCCAGAUUGUUGGCUCAUUCUACUACUUAUAUUUGCCAUAUAUGAUCUUUAUUUCCAGUGUGUAUUUUUUCUGUUGUUACUUAGUGGUAAUUUUGCAGCUAUCAGGUCUCUGGAUUAACAAUAUUUUACAGCCAGAAUGUAUCUUACUGGGUCUCACCAUUGCAGGAGUGUAGGAGAUAGCUGUAUCUAGGAUUUUGGCACAAUUUGGACAAAGCUCACCCAAAUUCCAGAUGUGACCUUUUGAAAAAAAUUGAAGAGAUACAAGAGAGAUCACAGUCAAAGUCUUUGUUUCUUAAAAUUGCACCCAAAACAGGCACUUUGGUAAAUAUAAAUCACAGCCUUUUCCAUAUUUUUUAUUUAAGCACAAGAAAAGCUAAGAACGUCAUGAUAAAGUGAUGCUAUUCUUUAAUUAUUAUUUAUUUUUUUAUCCUGUCAUAUAAAAAAGAUGAAAUAAGAACUUCCCAUCCCAUGCCAAUUUGUUUGUACUUAAUCUUUCUCCUUGUAUCACUGAAAUUUAUCUUAAAUUUUCUAGGAACAGAUUUCAUUCUUAUGAUGGGGUCAUGAACAGUUUCGACUCACAAAUUAUGUGGAAAAUUACCUACUUUUUUGCUUUACAACAGAGCUGAAUUGGCUCAGCAGAGAAUAUGACCUGCUUUGGAGCAUAUGCAGUGAUAGGUACAGCACGUAGGUAUGCAGGGGUGUGAGAGGAGGGAUGAGAAAGGGGAGAAUAAGACUUCUGUACUUAAGCAGCAGCAAAUUGUCAAAAGCUCGGUGCUUCAUGCAAUUUCACCAUUAAUGAAUGGUUGUGGCCUGAUGCAGGUCAAGUUACAACACCAGCGUUUUAGAAACGUUCUGAAAGAACAACAUGAAAUGGCUUCUGAAAUGUGCCUAUUUGGAAAUACAACUUAACCAACACAUACUACAAAGGAACUAAAUACCUUUAAGUAUAUCCUAAACCAAUUUAGCAUAAUUAAUUUCAUUUUAAGGAGUUAUAGCUGAAGGAUGUAUCUAGUUAACAUUUAGUAAUUCAUUUGCAUCCUUGAACGUGACAGGUAGUGUUUAUUGUAUUGUAGGCUCAUUGCGAAACUCGUCGUGACCCAUGUGUUCCUGAUGUGCUUGACAGGGGUUUUGUUACUGUGGUAGAGGAGAAAGCUGAUUCCAGGCAGGUCAGAAGCUGUAUAAGGGAAGAAACAGAUCUGCUGAUCCUUGUUUUCAGCAAUGUGUAGAUGGCGGUAUUAUAAAUGAUAAAAUGCAAAUGAUGAGACAUCUUCCCCUUAGAGUUGCCUACUGCUCAAUUUUGGCAUAGGAAUUGCUUUUGUAUGCCCAGAGCUUGGUAUCUCGUCUUGCUGCUGGAACGCUUGUGUGAAAACAUAGUAGGAGGGAGAGCACUGAUGUCUUAAAUGAAUACUAGGUUUUUUAUACGUUCCCUGCACCCGUACAUUUUUAAUUGUACAUUUUAUUGCAGAUGUGAAUGCUCUGUUUUUAUCCUAUAUUCUUCUCUGUGUUCUUUUGUAAGAAAUAUGUUUUUUUUCAGCCAUCUUGGCAGAAUCAAAGAUGUGUGAAUAGCUGGAAUUCGAUGUUAUGCACUUGCAUUUUAUUUUACGCUUAGCUUUCUAUCUAUCAAAGAUAGUCCUAUUCCCUGCCAUUUGGUAGUUCGAAAAUUAAGGGAAAUUGUCUAGUAACAGAUAGGCAGUAAUCAGCUUGAAAGGAUAAUUUGUAUGGCACUUCUGUGCUGGGACUCAACUACAUUCACAGGCUUGAUAUGAAACAAAAGGUUUGGGAAUAGCACCUAGACAUACAUGGAUGCACACGUGGAGAUGCAGAAUUAGAUGAGAAGGAUCUUCAAUUAAUUAAUCCGAUUUUCUUCGUUAGUAGUUUUCACACUUUGCUUUAUAUCUGAUCCAUCCAAUCCAGAUAUGCAUUUGGCACAUGAUCUGGGCUUCUGUAUUUUGCUAUUAAAAAAAAAAAAACAAACGUGAGUACUUUGAAUGUUUUAACUGUGUAUUGCUGUUGCUUGGUCCAUUUGCUUUGGUCUCCAGACAGCUUCAGCUGUACUGUGGAAACAAUUGGUAUACAUUUAAAAGAAUGAAGGGGUUUAAAAAUGGUUCCAGUUGAGUAAGGAAAUGACUUGUUAAUCUGUUCAUGGUGCUGAAAAGAUGUAGGCAUUAUUGGACUUGAUUUGUGCAAUGAUUAUGUAAAUGUAAUUAUACUGCAUAUAUAACAUUUCAAAUACUUGGAGGCAGCAUGCAAAUGCCUUUGAGACAUCUUAAGUAGGUGAUUCAGAAGGAUUUAUGUAUGGUUAAGGACUAAAUAACUUUUAGCUUACCUUAAAAAGAGAGAAAAUGCGUAAAAACUGAACUGCUUUGGAAUAUGAGUCACCAAGAAAUGUGGAUGUAUAAAUACAUGUGUGUACGUACACAUACUGAGUCUGUUUCUUACUAGUGGAAGUGUCUACUGUAAACCUGACUUGUAAACAAGGUGUGGCUUGGGGUUUUAUUUCCCACUCAGGGUUCAGGAAGAAAUGGCAUCUUUGAAAAAUUUAACAUGCUGCCAAGGUAGCAAAUCCUUACUUUGAACAUGCGUACAGGUGUAUUUCGUGCUGUGCAGAGCAGUUACCUCUCACAGUCGGGUGUCGUUUGCUUGCUCUCCUCCUUGUCCCCGUAUUUGGGAGAUCAAGUUCAAGACUUAAACCCCAAAGUCUUUUUCUAUUUUAUCUGAUUAUUGGUUUCAUCAAUUUUUCUAUAUCUUGCAUCUGGUGGAGUUGUUCUGUUUUAUAUGUAGAAUGUUUUUUAAUUCUUACUUGGCCGUGCUGAAAUGUAUUUGGGCAUACCAGUAAAUAACAUCGGUGUUAUUAAAAAAAAAAA